UUGUAAUAGCAUAGUUCACACCAAAAUCACACACACCCCAUAAACAACACCAUUCUCAUUUUCCCUCCAACUCUACAUAUAAAAAACCAAACCUCACAAAAACUCAUUCUCACCCUCUCAACAUGACCCAAAGUAGUAGAAGCACAAACAAAACCAUGGCUUCAACAACAGUAGCAUUCGCCAUCGUGACACUUCUUUUCCUACCAUCCAUCGCCUCCGAUUGCGGCCCUGUUCUCCUCCUCCUCGCGCCGUGCAUGCCUUUCGCUCAGGGGGAAGAGGCGGCGCCGCCCGACCCGUGCUGUAAUAAUUUGGCCAAUGUGAUCCGUGAACAGCCCGAUUGCGUCUGCCCCAUUCUCAAUCGAUCGAUCUCGCUCCCUGUCAACCGGUCGCUCGUGCUCGAGCUCCCCUCGCUCUGCCGCAUCAAUGUCACCGCCGAUGCCGACACGUGCCACGGUUUGCCAGAAAAUACAGAAACACAUCACUAUCACCAUGCAUAUUGAGGAUUAAAAUCACAAAAAGCCAAUAGAUUUUUCCUAGUUUAAGCUUGAAUCACAAAACUGGAACUCACUAACUCUGCAAUUGGCCCAUAAAGUGAGGCUUUUUUGGUCCUCCAAACUAAAACUUGUGGAACUAAUUGCAAUAAUAAAAGGAUAGUGGUUUUCAUUCAUUGCAACUAGAAAAAAGAUAGUGGGUUUGUGUGAUUCUGACACAAAUGUAUAUAUGCUUUGGAUAAUAUACAACUAACCAAGACUGAUACAGGAUUAGCCUCGCCACCAUCAUCAGGCUCACAACAGGCAAGUGGAUUCGGAGCCCAAAAUUCAAGUUCAUCUACUGCAGGUUCAUCACCACUCACUUUAAAUUCAGUUAAUGUAUGUACUCUACCAACAAACCUCUGUUUUGUAUGACACGAAUUCCGGAACUUUUCAGUGUCUCCAGCAGUGGAAUCGCCGCCGCCGUCGUUGAGGAUGAACAACUUCCUGCUGGGGCGAAACUGGGGAGGAACACUAAGAGUUGAGGGUACUUCGGCAGCAUACACGGCUAUAAUACUAAUUCUAGGAACUCUCUAACUAAACAAUAUAAGGUAAGAGAUCUGAAAAUGAAAGAACAUGAUUAGUCACAAAUAUGUCAUCUAAGUCAUCGUGUCGAUGAGUUUACGAUCUAAUGCACUUAUAAAUUAUAUAUUGCAGUAAAAGAUUUGCAUCUUCUGUACCAAAAUGAACAAUAUGAUUGCACUUUGUCGCAUUCAGAUGAACAAAAACGAACUGUCAAACAAAAGUAUCUAGUGUUUUGCAAAUUUGAUUACAAAAAAAAAAAAAAAAAAAAAAAGCUCUUGAAAUUCAUGAACAUAGUACAAAGUAUAUGAUUAAAAUUCAAACUUCAACUAGGACUCUUUUACAUAAUCCAAGCACAAGAGAUAUGCAACCAAGCCCACAACAGGGACGAAUCUUAAGACAUUUACGAGUUCUGUAUAAUCUUCUUUUACAUUUUGAAGGUUGUCACCAAUCAACCAAGGUUGGAAUACGGCGUAAAGUAGAAUAUCCCAUAUGAAUGCAUAAGCAAGCCUCUCUGAUCCGAUAUAAUUUCCCAAAUAUAGCCAUCGAUCAGCUAGACUUCCGAAACCACCAUCGGCACGACCAAAAAGAGCCCAAAGUGUCGAGACAACGCAGACAAAUCCACCAAUUAAAGCCACGAUGGGCGCACCUCUUACCAUCACUGAACCCAACUGAGAUGGUUUUGUGGGAUACUGGUUCGAGUCCGCAUCAUUAAGUCGGAUCGCCAUGUAAGGUAUUAAGAAGACUGAGCAAGCAAUGCCAAGAAGCAGAGACAAGUUCAAUCAGAUAAAAUAGCUUACCAUAGUUUUUCUUCUUCUUUUUUUUUUUCUGUUUUUGACAAAAGAACAAAUUAGUAACUUAUGAUUCCUUUAAAUAUGUGUUUGCAAAUUAAGCAACAAUAACAGGACUAGAUCUGUUCAUCGCAAGGUGCCUUUCUCAUAAAUUCGAGAAAGAAACAAAAAUAAUUAGUAAAAUAAAUAAAUAAAAAAACUAGGAAAUUGAUGAGCUUACCAUUGGUGAGAAACAUCUGGCAUCCCCACAAGAGAUCCAAUGAUCCUUUGUAUCUGUCUCUUCGGCGAUCGGUGAAGAGUAAAGGGGCAAACAAAAAUGUCCAUCCGAUCACGAAGUUGAAUAAUCCUUCGGCCACCUUAGGAAAGCAAAAGAUCACAGGGUGCUAAAAAUUACAGUGUUCGAAUCUAAAUUAGCAACAUAAAAUCGCGCGAACAAAUUCGUUUCUUACAGGGUGAAGUACAGGUGCUUCAAUCACAUGAAUUCCAACUACACUGCCAUAGAACACACCAACUAAAUUACUGCCAAUGGUAAAAGGAUAAAAUGUAUGGUAUGUUACGAUUCAAAAAGUAAGCGAAGAAAUAAAUUGCAUCCUUGGUGAGAACAAAUUAUUACCAGAGUUCAUUAAUGGCAAGAUGAAGAAGAAAUUAAGCGACAGGCCCAAGAGAUCACUGAUAGUGCUUUGCUUUAUCGCCCAUACUGGAUCACCCUGCUCGCAAAGUGAUUGCUAAUUAGAGUCAGUAUCGCACAAGGAAGGAUGGAAACCCUAAUAUCGAACCGAGCGAAACGAGGCGACGCGUAAUCUUAUCUAGGGUUACGAAUCGAGAGGCGGAAGCUAGGGCGGCGCAGCACGAACCGGGGCGUAGGGGAGGAGGAAGAGCCACACGACGUAGGCCGCCUCCGCCGCCCACAGCGCCGCCCGGAUCCCCAGCCCCCCAGCCGCCGCCUCCGCCGCCGCCGACGACGACGACUCCGACUCCGCCUCGGCGUCGGCGCCUCUCUUCGCGCGACACGCCACGCGACCUCGCGAGAGGACUCCUCCUCCUCCUCCUCCUCCUCCUCCUACAAGGCAUCGAAGCUCGACCUCCGCGGAUUCGGAAACCCUAGGAUCGAGGGAUCUGCGGGGGCGAAUGGAGGGGUUCGGAGGGGGGAGUGCGAGGGGAGGAGGGGUGCGAAUGGCGGUGCUGUUGCUACAGCACGGGAGGAGCAGCGUCCACGCCAUUGGAGUGGAGGGGAUAAUUGAGCCGUGUUUAGACCGCGGCCGAUGUAGUUAAACGCUGCGCUGAGAUCCGUGCCGUUCACGUGAUGGACGGAGGAUGAGAUGGUGGGGACAGAGGACGAAGUAGUUUUGCUUUAAGAUUCGUAUUGUGUACGUGAUGAACGAAAAUAAAAUGGCAUGAACGGCAGAUGAUUGCCGUAAUAAAUUAGUCUACGUUAAGGACCGCUUUUGUCGUCACUUAGCUUAUUGUGAAGUGUUGAAUUAUUAAUUAUUGUUUUGUUUAUUCGGGUUAUUUUUAUUAAAUGUUGUUGUUUUUUUUUUUUUUUUAAAUGGACAAGAGUAGAAUAGGAAGGAUGAGUAAAAGAAAAUCUCUUUCUAGUUUUCUUUCCCUCUAUAAGUUCUCAGGAAAAAGAAAAAAUCAUCACCUUCUAAAAUAUGAGACUUACAUUUACAAUAAUGGAUUUGGCUGGGUUUGUACUUGGUAGUUUGGUACCCACAUGAAUGAAUAAAAACAUGAACUCACAACAUCAAAUUUAGGUGGCAAAAAAGACCCAAAAAAAAAAAAAAUCCACAAAUAACAACAACAUUAGUAUGUGUAAUCUACAAUCUUUUAUUAGAUCAUAUUGCUUGGAAAUGACCACAUACAUCAAGGGCUAAACCUCUAACAUUUCAUCUAUCGAGCUAAAUCCACAAUAUUAGCUUCUUACCUAUUUGCACUUCCAGGAACAUCCUUCUAACACAAUUUAAGAUAAAUCAAAAUCAAAAGGCCACCACUUGUUCUUGUGGGCCAAAAAGUCCUAUUAUGUAAAUUAAUGAGAAUGAAAAGGCAUGCAAUUGAAGUUCAAAGAAAAAUUUUCCCGAAAAAACGAAAAAAAAAAAAAAGAAGUUUCAAAUGGGGGGUAUAUCUGGGAAUCUGUCGAGCCUGCCGUUCAUUACCUCUCUAGCUCGCGCGCUCCGAUACUGUAGUCUCUGGUGCAGCGCCUCCGACAUUUGGUUGAAGAACUCGGUAUCCCAACUCUGAAUCAAUGUGGGAUCUUCCGCGUAGCAUAUAUAUAUCGAGGUGACCGCACUUUCGACAACUACUACAGCUAACCCCACCUGGAAAUAAAGAAGGAUUAUUAAUGCAAUCUCCAAGUUUGAGUCAUUGUGUAAGAUGACAGAAAUAAGGGUUAAUUCAUUGAUAAGAAGUUGAGUCAAGUGCUCUUUUGUAGUCAUGUCGCAGGUACAACGUAUAAAUUUUGUAUGCAUCUGAAGUCAAGAGGUUAAUCAUUACAAGCGAUACAAUCAAGUCAUUUUUGUUAUAUGAAUGGAGCUAUCAGCAAUAAAUGGGAGCAGAGCGAAAACUCUCAUGCAGCAGAUUGCAAGGGAUUACAAUAACAUAUACAAUUUCUCAAAAAAAAAUAACAUAUACAUAUCUGUUUGAUCUUAUGAAACUUUGAACAUACACUAAAUGAAUCAAAACCGUGUGUACAAAAGUAUUUUUCAAUUUUGUAACUUGUAUACCAUGGUUGUCUAAAGGAUAUCUAAUGCAUAACAACAAAGGAGCCAUUAGAGGAGCUAAAUUUAGAUUAGGCUACAGAAAUGCAUUAGUUAAAAGGGCAUUUCAAACUUGUAAUCAUUCCGAGCCAGUAAAUGGUUUUAUUCCAAUAUUUUGAACUUAUGUCCCUUAACCUUUUAGUAAUUAGUGGACAAUUCAGAACCACAUAAAAAAUUAAUAGAAGUGGAGACUCACCAAUAUCAUACCCAUCAGUGCCGCAGUGCAACCAACCAUGAGCACUUUAUCACUUCUUUUGAACCAUGCCCAAACUCCUGUACAUGUUCCUGUAAGAAGCCCACCCAAAAUAGUGCCCAUAAGGAGAACAGCACCAGAACAAUCAUAAGCAAUGAGUGCUUCAAUGCCGGUAGACUGGAACAACUCCCAUGCAUCCCUAGCGGAACGAUUGAAGCUCUUUCCAUUAACUGCUAUCUGAAUGGAAAAAACCAACAUGAAAUAAUAUUAGACGUAACAUGAUUUAUCACGACUAUGGCACAUUUUGAAAUGGGUACUUGAACAGCUAAAAUUUUGGUACUACCUAUCCCCACAGUUAUUUUGAUUUCAGAGAACUCCCAAGUUCUUUUGAAGUACCACAUUGUUCAGGAUAGUGUUGUCGAAUUCUACCUAUUAUAGACAGCUUUUUACACCAGUAACACUCAUAGAAGGAAGAGAAUAAUAGUUUAAGAAGUAAAUAAGAAACAAAAAGCAGCAGCACCAUCAACAGAAUACAAAUAACAAAAACGACAAAAGAAACUGACCUGGACAUAUGCAUACUUGUUGAAGAAGCGAACCAGCGUUUCCACAAGAUGAAACAAAAAAUCAACACAACACAGAAGACACUCGUUGUUUCCAAUUUUUGACCUAAUUCCUCGGAUCUGAAGUAAUUUCAAAAAGUAAACUGUAAAUAAAGUAAUAAGUCAAACAGAACAACCACAUAAGGAGUCCUUAGUAACUCAAGGCCGAAGCUAACAUGUAUACCUCCCACCGCAGAGUCCUGAUUGCAGCAGUGAAAAGCGACCCAUAGCAAAUGCUACCAAAAGAAGUUGUUACGGCAUACUGUAGUGACUUCAGAACUGGUUUUGGAGGCAUUGAUGUAGCUCUCUGCCCACCAUGAAUAAGAACAAGAAAUACCAUGCCAGAUACUAUCACGUGAACGGUAUUACAAAGAACAGCUCCGGUCCAAAACAAACUCACUGAGAACACCUGAGAAGAGAAAAUGAGACAUACUAUAAGCAAUUUUCUUCCUUGAAGAAGUAAUUACUAAAAUCAUGCAAGUAUUAGACUGAAGAGAAAAAAACUUGCCCGCUCACCACAAGAAGCCACCAACGACCGCUAUCAUGCAUACUUAAGGCGACGAUACCAGCUACUCCAAAUGACCAUAGUACCAUCCAACAGAGCAUGAUGAGAAUAAAAGCAUAGGCUACUCUCAUCACAUCUGGAAGGCCCCAAACCAUUUUCACGGCCUUCUGCAAAACCAGCAUUGUGAAGGGAAACCUACAGAAAAGCUUCUACUGUGAGUCUGUGGUUGCUAGGUAGAUGGACAUAUUGCCGUUAUAAUUAAACUAACAAUAUAUAGUUCAAUUAGCAAGAGGGAAAAAAAAAAUUCUCAGUUUUUCGAUGAAAUUAGGAGAUACACAACCAGAAUUCCUGAAUCAGCAGAUGCCUGCAGUAUAGCAACUACAAAAUAUGGGAAUAGAAAUUGUAUAAUCUUAUAAGCUUCUAGUUCUAUGUUAGUUUUUUUUUCUUUUUUUCCCUCCUACCUCACAAAUGUUUCGUCCUUAAAGGAAAGUGAAUUUAUCAAUGAUUAUUAACCAGGAAAACUAAUUAAAACAACUAAGACAAAUUGAAUAGGUGUCAGAGAAAUGCGUAAACGGUUAAUGACACUACAGAAGAUGGUAUCAAAAGUCUGCCGAAUUUCUCUGAAAUGCCUUCAUAAACCAAAUUGGAGGCAAAUACGUGAAUUUUAACACUUCCAUUGAAACAAAUAAAUCUCAUCUAGCUUUUUUACCGGAAUUACAAUGAUAUCGAAUGUAGAGACUACAUAUGGGCAUAUUUCCUUUUGAAAAAUAGUUGCUUUCUCCGACCAGAAACAUGUCAAGAAGUGACCCAGUUAAUAUAAUCUAUUUUUUGCAAAUUAUUUACUUGAAGAGUCCCUCAGACUCAAAACAUAUAAUUCUUAACAAUGAAACACAGGUGUGUGUAUACCAUUGUCUGAUACAAGCUUCUAGCUUCUUCGCCGACCGGGAGCAUAGUUGGGAGAAGGGAAACAAGGUAAUUAUUAACAUUAAAAGAUCGACCUUUAACAUCAGUCCCCUGAUUCACUUCAAUAACAAGACGAAGUAAUUCCCAACAUCAGCAAUAGCAUGAUAAAUGUUGAGGAAUCUACUGCCUAUUUCACUAGCUACACAUCCAGUAAUGUCAUUUGCAAUUGGAUGCGAAAUUCCGUGUGAUUGGAUCUAAAAUCCUAAUUAACGAUCCAAAAUCAAAACAGAAAAGGUGGAAUUCGAUGGAGACAAAUCGAUACCUAUCGAGCACGGACAUGACAUAGAGGAACUGCAGAAGGGCCCCAACAGCGAAAGCGACCCCCCAGAAGAAGUGCUUCCCCCAGAAGCACAGCACGCUGAUCACGGCGAGGUAAGUGGUGAGGCUGUGCACCGACACCUUCAUCAUCUGCCCCGCGCGCCGCCCCAGCAGCGCGAGCCACGCCCCCGCGAUCGCCGCCCCGACCCCCGCCGCCGCGCCGUAGAAGGGCCAGAACGUCUCCGUGAGCUCCCCACUCGGCCCCUGCUCCCGCUGCGGCGGCGCCACCACCUCCGCCUCCCGCGGCGCCGCGGCGGCGCCGCCGCCGAUGGUGAUGUUGGUGAACCGGUCGAUGUUGAGCCGAUCGGCCUUGCGGAACCGGUUGAGGCCGAGGAGGACGAGCGCGGAGCCGACGAGGAGGAGGUGGAGGACGAAGACGAGGAGCCAGAACACGUCCCUCCACCGCCGCGCCGGCGCCGCCGCCACGCUCGGCGCCGGCGCCGGCGACGACGAGUCGCUAGGGUUCCGGCUCCCGUCCUUCGCCAAAAAAAACCGAUCAACACGUCACCAAACACACCAAAACGGAUCACAAAAACCAGGAAUUAAACACCAAAAAUCGAAGCAAAAAUUAGAAGAGAUCGAGACCUCGUCUUCGUCCUCGAUCGUGGGGGAGGAGGCCCCGUCGAGGUCGUCGGAGUCGCGGAGGCUCAUGGAGUAGUAAUGGGGAAUGGGAACAACAGUAAUAAGAAUCAAAAUUUGGGAAUAAAAAAUGGGGAUAAGGGAGUGAGAAUAAAUGAAAUGGCGAAUAAGGUAGGAGAAUAACUGCUGCUAUUCGGUUUGAAAUUUCGAACGGGGAGGAUUCAAUUUAACGCGGAGAUAUAGAGCGUGGGACGAUGACUAAAACGCACGGACACCCCUCACCUUUAGAUAAUUUUUAAUUUCAUCUCUUAAUUUUAUUAACAAAUUUUAUUUAGGUAAACUUCAUAUAUCACCCUUGUGGUUUCUCACUUUCUCAUUUAGUACCAUAUAAUUUAAAAUAUAUCAAUUUGGUACCCUAUGGUUUUAUUUUUUUCUUUUCGUCAGCUCCUCCGUUAACAUUUCGUUAAAUUAUAUACAAAAAACUUCAUAUACCCCAUCUACCUUUAUCGAAUAUUCAUUUUAAUACAUUUUAGUUUAACUUUGUCACUGAUUUAGUAAAAAAAACUUCACAUGAUAUUAAAUUAAAACACUUUAAAUCACAUGCUACUAAAGUGAGAAAGUGCGAAACUACAGGAGUGGUAUUUGAAGUUUACCCUUUAAUUUAUAUCGCACACUCAAUUUUUAAAAAUUAAAAUUAAAAUAGGAAAAAAAAAAUUCUAAAGCUUAGGGUGCCAUUUCCAAAUUGGUUAUAGUUGAGGGGGACUCCACCAAAUUUUACCUUGUACUUAAUCGGGGGUUGGGGGGAGAUUUGGGGGCGGUUCGAACUUCGAAGUAACCGAAGAAGAGCAUUAGAAAAAGUGGAUUGUUUUAGAAUUUUUUGAAUUUUGGGGGUGGAAAUUGGAAUUCUAGUCCGAGUAAUUUGUGUACGUUUUGCGUUGGUCUCUUUGGACAAUUAUUGCAUGGAGGGGCCUGCCACGUCAGAUGUGAAUUAAAUAAAUUAAUUAGUUAAGCAAAUAAAUUCCUUCAACAAAAAAAAAAUUAGAAAAAAUAUAUGUGUAAUGCUACGUCCAUAUCAUAUAUUUUAUUUAUUAUGUCGAAUAUUUUCAGAAUAUAAAAUACAAUAUUCAUUCAUUUAUUUUCUUUGCUUUUGUUUUCAAAAUUUUAUGGUGAUUAUUUGAGUUUAUAGUAAAAAAUUUUUUAUAAAUGUUCAACUAAAUUUAAAAUUAUUUUUUUAUUAUUUACUGACUAAGUAAAUUUGAUUAGAUAUAAUAAAUUCAAACUAUAUCCAAUAAAAAUUGAUCUGUUAAUAUCAUUUCUCUAUCGCAAAGCCAAUUAUUUCCAUCCAAAGAAAUUUCAAAAUUAAUAGUGAAGUUGAGCACUGAUAGUAACGUCAGCGGUCUUGAUUCGAGGCGAAUUUUCAAAAAUCCGAAUCCUGAAAUCCGAACUCAAACCCGACGGAUUUUAAAAAUUCAUAUCCAAACCCAAAACCCGAAACCAAAUCCGAAAAUCCGAACCCGAAAUAUUUAUUUCUCUUUUCAAUAUUUCAAAAUAUAUUAUAUUAAAUCUAAAUUUUUAAAAUACAAAUUUAAAUAUAAUAUCAAAUUUUCACAUACAUAUUAUAUAUAAUAUAUAAUGUAAAAUAAAUUCGGUUUCAGAUCGGAUUCGGGGUCGAGCCAGGUAAAGUCAGAAUUCAUAACCGUAUUUUUAUCUGUCGGAUUUUUAUUUUUGAUAUCCAUAUUCAAAACCAUAUCCAUUUAGCAUCUUAUAUCACUCUGUUCGGAUUAAGAUUCGAAUAAAAUCUCAGGUAUCCGUACCCAUUGACAUCCCUGAGCACUAAUGCCAAGUAAAAUGGCUUUUUUAGAGGGAUUGAUACAAAUGGUGGUGGACCCCUUUUGGGUACCUUUUGGGGUACGAAUAAUGAUCAAAAGAAGGAUUUAUUAGUGAAAGUGUGGAGGAUUAGUGUAUGCCACGUGAGUUGCAUCGUGGAGACAACUUGGCACUCAAACGAGAGGAGAAAAUGGUGGGACCCACUUUAUAUCGUAUCUAGACAAAAUUAUUGCAUGCACCGAGUGCACACACCAUAGUUUUAUCAGGAGCUCUAAAUUGGAGUUAUUAGAAACAUAACUUUAAAUCAUUAGAUAUAAUUUAUAGUACUGAAAAUAUCUAAAUCUUAUAUCUAGAUGCCUUAUAAUGAUCAAGAUUAGUAGUUUGAUUAAAUUUAUUGCUCUUAAUGGCUAUAAAUGGUUUUUUUUUUUAAGAUUUAGAUAUUAUUAGUGAGUUCGAGUUCUUAAGAAUUUCGGUGUAUACACUAUGGUGCAAGGCAAUAGUUUUAAUAAUGAUGAUGAUAAGAGAAAGAUAAAGUGGAACAGGGUUGUUAAGAAAAAUAAAAAAAAUUAAAAAAGAAAAAAAGACGAAAACGGUUGGACAACAUAUCCGUGUCUGCAUAUUAAAAUUAAGAAGACUUGAUUAGUCGAGUCCAAACCUUCUAGAAGGAACUACGUUCCAGUAUGAUCUAACGGGUGUAAACGAUCAAAAGGGUCGAUCUAACGGCAGAAAACUUGGUAGCACCAAGUGCUUCGUGCUAUUAAUAGCACAGUAGCCGGAUUUUAUAUAUAUAUAUAUAUAUAUAUAUAUAGCAGAACUGCUGUGCUCUCAGGAGCACGAAAGUCUCCGUGCUCCUGAGCCGUUUUCGAUGAUGAAAUUUCUGAAUCGACGAUCGACUCCGUUAGACAUGAUCUAGCGUAUUUGAAGUUUCUAGAAAAUAAUUUUUGCGAUUUUUCGAUAUCAUUUACCUAGCAAUCGAAAGAAUUCAAAAUCAAUAAUUUUUAACGGCUGAAAUAAAAAUCCUAUAAAAAAUGAUGAUAUAGCACUAAAAUUUUCUUUAUAUCAUAAAUAUUGAUCUUGUUGUAGAUAGUAUAAAGAAUUUUGUAUCAAAAUUUUAUCUGAUUUGAAUACUUUCUACACCGUUAAACUUUGAAAAAUGGCAGAUAUCAAUCAUUAAAAAUUAUUGAUUUUGAAUCCUUUCGAUCACUACGUAAAUAAUAUUAUCAAAAAAGUUGCAAAAAAUUAUUUUCUAGAAACUUCAAAUACGCUAGAUCAAGUCUAACUGAACGGAUCGUCGAUUUGAAAAUUCCAUCAUCGAAAACGGCUUAGGAUGAAAGCACAGCAACCUUGCUCUAUAUAUUAUAUAUAUAUAUAUAUAUAUAUAUAUAUAUAUAUAUAUAGUGUGAGGCUACAUGUACUUCGGAAGCACGGGAGCCUUCCGUGCUUCCAGCUCGUUUUCGAUAUUUGCGACUUUCGAAUCGUCGAUCGGCUCCGUUAAACUUGAUCUAGAGUAUUUGCAGUACCUAGAAAAAUAAAUUUUAUUAUUUUUCGAUAUCUUUUGCCUAGUGAUCAAAUGAAGCUCAAAAAUCAAACAUUUCAUAUGGCCGUAGUGAGCCGCUUGCAAGUUUAACGGUGUAGAAAUAUCCAAAUCACGUGAAAUUUUGAUAGAAAAAUUCUUUAUACUAUUAAAAACAAGAUCAAUAUCUUUGAUUUAAAAUUUUAAUGUCAUUAUUAUUACAUUUGUAAGAUUUUUAUUUUCAGCCGUUGAUUUUGAGCCCCCUCGUUCACUAGGCAAAUGAUAUUGAAAAAUAAUAAAAUUUAUUUUCUAGGUACUCCAAAUACUCUAGAUCAAGUUUAACGGACCGAUCGACGAUUCGAAAAUCGCAACAUCGAAAAACAAGCUGGAAGCACGGAAGGCUCCGUGCUUCCGAUAGCAUAGUAGCCUCACUCUAUAAUAUAUAUUAUAUAUAUAUAAUAUAUAUAUAUAUAUAAUAGUGGAGCUAUUAUACUCUUAUGAGUAUUAGGUCUUUCGUACUCAUAAGUUAUUUUCGGAUGAUGGAGCUUUCGAAUCGACGUCCACUCCGUUAAAUAUGAUCUAGAGUAUUUGAAAUUUUUAAGGAAUAAUUUCGUAAUUUUUCGAAAUAAAUAAAAUCCAUCAAGCGGGCAUAAAAUAAAUGGUUAAAAUCGAACAACAUCCUAAAAAUAGAUGAUUGGAUCCUUCAAUUUAAGAUCGGAGUAUUGAUCUUAUCUAAGGUAGUGAAUAGAAUUUUUUAUCAAAAAAUUCAACCUAUUCCGAUUCUUUUGCACUGUUAAACUAGCAAUAUCCCAUACCAGCGCGUUAAAAAUUGUCAAUUUUGUGAGCUUUUGAUCGUAAGGUAACUGAUAUCGAAAUUAUAAAAUUUGAAUUCUAGAAGUUUUAAAUUCUCUAAAACUGUUUAAUAGUAUGGAUCGUCGAUUCAGAAGCUUUAUCAUCAAAACGACUUAUGAGUACGAAGGCGAUCAUACUCUUAAGGAGUAUAGUAACCAAACUCUUCUCUCUAUAUAUAUGUUACUAUUGAUAAGUAAUAUCGAGUUUGUCGACCCGUUAGAUAAAAGAUGUGCGGUUAGGAUACUAGUGGCUAGUUAGAUUGAGUGGAUGGUUGGUUAAAUGGUAUAAUCUAAGGAUGGAAUAACAAAGGAUAAAUCUAACGGCAGAUAUAUCAAGAGAGUAGCCGGACUCAUAUUAUACAUAAAAACACAUAUUUUAAAUUUCAAUAUGUAGGUGGACCUAUUUCAAAAUUAUUCUUUUUUCGUAUGCAAAAUAAAUAAUAUAGUGAAAUAAUUUUAGUUGAUAUAUAUUAUAUAUAUAUAUAUUAUUAUAGGAGACGAGAGAGAGAGAAAGAGAGUCCGGUUACUAUACUAUCGAUAUUAUCAAGCCCUUGAUGCUAUUGAGUUUUCUACCAUUAGAUUUUACCCUUUGAUCAUUUCCACCCGUUAGAUUAUACUAUUAACCAACCACCCACUCAACCUCGGGACCACUAUCAAUUUAAUCGGGGACCACUAUCAUCCUACUGCACAUCCUUUCAUCCAACGGCCGAAAAACUCAAAUAGUACCAAGGGCUUGGUACUAUUGAAGUAUAGUAGCAUAUAUAUAUAUAUUAUAUAUAUAUAUAUAUAUAAUAGGCUGGAAUACUGCUCAAUAGCACCAAAUUAUUGGUGCUAUUUAGUUUUUAGCCAAUUGGAUUAAGAAAUGUGCGGUUAGGAUGAUGUGAGCCCUUUAGGAUAGAGUGGAGUAGUUAGUUGAAUAGUAUAAUCUAACGGAUAAAAAUAAUUAGAGUUAAUCUAACGGCAGAAAACUUAGAAGCAUCAAGCUGUUGAUGCUAUCAAUAGCAUAGCAAGCGGACUUCAUAUAUAUAUAUAUAUAUAUAAUAUAUAUAUAUAGAGAGAGAGAGAGAGAGAGAGAUGAGAGAGAGGAGAACUAGCGGAAUACUAUCAAUAGCACCAAACUAUUGGUGCUAUUGAUUUUUUAGCCCUUGGAUUGAGAAAUGGGUAUUAGGAUGAUGUGGGCCCCCUAGGGUUAAGUGAAUGGUUAGUUGAAUAGUAUAAUCUAACGGGGUAAAAUAAUCAUAUGGUUAAAUCUAACGGUGGAAAACUCGAUAGCACAAAAUCUUUGGUGCUUACGAUAGUACCUCAGCCGGACUCUAUAUAUAUAUAUAUAUAUAAUAUAUAUAUAUAUGAGCUACAUGUUUCAUUAGAUAAACUGGUAUUAUAAUUUCAAUUUGAUUUUUUUUUUUNNNNNNNNNNNNNNNNNNNNNNNNNUAUAUAUAUAUAUAUAUAUAUAUAUAUAUAUAUAUAUAUAUAGUGGAGCUAUUAUACUCUUAUGAGUAUUAGGUCUUUCGUACUCAUAAGUUAUUUUCGAUGAUGGAGCUUUCGAAUCGACGAUCCACUCCGUUAAAUAUGAUCUAGAGUAUUUGAAAUUUUUAAGGAAUAAAUUUCGUAAUUUUUCGAAAUCAUAAUAAAAUCCAUCAAGCCGGCAUAAAAUAAAUGGUUAAAAUCGAACAACAUCCUAAAAAUAGAUGAUUGGAUCCUUCAAUUUAAGAUCGGAGUUAUUGAUCUUUAUCUAGGUAGUGAAUAGAAUUUUUUAUCAAAAAUUCAACCUAUUCCGAUUCUUUUGCACUGUUAAACUAGCAAGUAUCCCAUACCAGCCGUUAAAAAUUGUCAAUUUUGUGAGCUUUUGAUCGUAAGGUAACUGAUAUCGAAAAAUUAUAAAAUUUGAAUUCUAGAAGUUUUAAAUUCUCUAAAAACUGUUUAAUAGUAUGGAUCGUCGAUUCAGAAGCUUUAUCAUCAAAAACGACUUAUGAGUACGAAGGCGAUCAUACUCUUAAGAGUAUAGUAACCAAACUCUCUCUCUCUAUAUAUAUGUUACUAUUGAUAAGUAAUAUCGAGUUUUCGACCGUUAGAUAAAAAGAUGUGCGGUUAGGAUACUAGUGGUCUGCUUAGAUUGAGUGGAUGGUUGGUUAAAUGGUAUAAUCUAACGGAUGGAAAUAAUCAAAGGAUAAAUCUAACGGCAGAUAUAUCAAGAGAGUAGCCGGACUCAUAUUAUACAUAAAAACACAUAUUUUAAAUUUCAAUAUGUAGGUGGACCUAUUUCAAAAUUAUUCUUUUUUCGUAUGCAAAAUAAAUAAUAUAGUGAAAUAAAUUUUAGUUGAUAUAUAUAUAUAUAUAUAUAUAUAUAUAUAGAGAGAGAGAGAGAGAGAAAGAGAGUCCGGUUACUAUACUAUCGAUAGUAUCAAGCCCUUGAUGCUAUUGAGUUUUCUACCAUUAGAUUUACCCUUUGAUCAUUUCCACCCGUUAGAUUAUACUAUUAAACCAACCACCCACUCAACCCUAGGGGACCACUAUCAUCCUAACUGCACAUCCUUUCAUCCAACCGGCCGGGAAAACUCAAUAGUACCAAGGGCUUUGGGGACUAUUGAAGUAUUAGCUAGCCAUAUAUAUAUACAUAUAUAUAAGUAUAAUAAUAUAACUAUGGCGGAUACUGCUCAAGUAGCACCAAUAUAUUGGUUGCUGAUUAGUUUUUUAAGCCAUUGGCAUUAAGAAAUGUGCGGUUAGGGAUGAUUGACCUUCUUUAGGAUAGAGUGAAGUACGUUAGUUGAAUAGAUAAUCUAACGUGAUUAAAAAUAAUUAGAGUUAAUUCUACUCGGCAGAAAACUUGAUAGCCAUCAGAGUGUUGGAUGCUAUCAAUAGCAUAGCAAGCCGGAAUUAUAUAUAUAUAUUAUUUAUAUAUAUAUAUAUAGAGAGAGAGAGAGAGAGAGAGAGAGAGAGAGAACUAGGCUGGAAUACUAUCAAUAGCACCAAACUAUUGGUGCUAUUGAUUUUUUAGCCCUUGGAUUGAGAAAUGGGUAGUUAGGAUGAUGUGGGCCCCCUAGGGUUAAGUGAAUGGUUAGUUGAAUAGUAUAAUCUAACGGGUAAAAAUAAUCAUAUGGUUAAAUCUAACGGUGGAAAACUCGAUAGCACAAAAUCUUUGGUGCUAUCGAUAGUACCUCAGCCGGACUCUAUAUAUAUAUAUAUAUAUAUAUAUAUAUAUGAGCUACAUGUUUCAUUAGAUAAACUGGUAUCAUAUAAUUUCAAUUUGAUUUUUUUUUCUUUCUGUUUCUAUUCUACGCAAUCAUGCAUUUCAAUUUGAAUAUAAUUUUUCUUGAAAUGAAUAUAAUUUUUCAAGAAAAAUUAUACUUUUUUUGGUCCUCAAACUAUGAAGCGUGAGAGCUUUAAUUCUAGAACUUUAAUUUUUACAACUUCUGACUCGGAGCAGACUUCAAUUUUUACAACUUCUGAUCGGAGCAGACUAAAUAUUAGCAUAUCACACAGCAUUCCGUCAACUAAAUUAGGUCGUAAACUUUAAUCAUAACAAUUUAGAAAGUUAAAAAGUCAAAAAUUAUAACAAAUUAAAAUUUAAAAAUUUGAGGACCAAAAUAUCACGCCUCUCAUAAUUUUAGAACCAAAACUAUAAUUUAGCCUAAUUUUUCAUUAUAAAAUUAUGCACUGCUUACUUUGACUCAAAUGACUAAGCCAAUUAAAUUAAAAUUUUGAACAAAAUUGGGACAUAAUUCAUGCAAGUUUUAAUACAAUUUUACUAAUAUAAAAAAAUAUGUGCAUUUGCAGGGGUAGAUAUGUAAUUCCACAAAUUCAGAUGCAAUGCAGCAAUCUAAACACAAGAUGAGCACCAAUGAUUCUCAGCAUCCUACCAAAAACACAGCAGAAUUUGAACUGCUCAAAUUGGAAAUUCUUUCUCAACCAUAAGCCACCUGAAUUUACACACAUACAGUCUCUGCUACCAAUUUUUUCCAUCAGUUACCAAUUAAAAUAGACCAUGAGACCUAAACAGUAACCAAAUAGAGAUACCAUUUACUAAAUUCUUAAGCUUUACCAAGAAAACAACUGUGAGUUAGAGAGAGGGCGAGACGCAGAGAGAGGGCAACAGAUUCAAUGGUGAGGAAAACCACGAGAAUCAUAUGGCGGCCAAGGCCCGCCACCGUAGAACCCCUUGUCCGCACCAUAACCCUCGCGAAACCCACCGGAGAACCCCAUCUCAGGGUUGGCUUUCGGCAUUCCGUAAGGGCCAGGAACUAUAAAAAGAAGAUAUGGAGUUGGGAGUUAGAAACAGCUUAAAAAACAAAAGAUAACUGUAAUCGUUUUGUACUAGAAUCAAAAUUUGUUCAAAACAACUUCAAAAUUUGCUGUAGUGUAAGAAAAUUCUGCAAUUUUUGAUAAAUGUACUGCUGUCGUGUAGGAGAAUUCUGUAAGUUUUCACAAAUGCUUUACCAGGUCCUCUUCCUCUUUUCUCCAGCUCGGCCCUCAGCUUCUCGAUCUCUCGAGCCAUAGAAACGAGAUUCUUCUCCAUCGCUUGCUUCUGCUCCAUCUGCUCGGCGCUUGCUUUCAUCUCAUACUCAUGAGCAGUCCUGCUAAAAAGGUCCAUUAAAAGUAGAGCAAGAAAUUUAACUUACAACAAGAGUUGCCAAUAUUGGGAUCUUUUUGACCUGGCUUAAAGCAUUUGCAAAUUUACACGAUAAGCAAAGCUGUUCAAAGAAGCACUUAUAGCCUUCUUAUUAAAAUUCGGCCAAGAGGCCCAAGACUAACAAAUUACCGUAGAAGCAGCAAAGCCCUAACUGGACCAUCUGCUUUGGAAACCCAAGACUGGACCAUCUGCUCAUUUUAGCUUCCCACAACAGCAAAAGCUCCGUUUCUUUUAAAAUGUGAAAACCCUAAACUAUUUUAUUUGUCAAACACAGCUAUUUGGAAACUAAAAUGUCCAAAUUUUUAACAGUAAAAAGUUUGGAGCUUCCACUACAGAGAGAAGCCAAAAAGAGAUCUCAAGGCUGAAGAAUAGAAGCUUCAGUUUGGAGCUUCUCUCCUUUGGAAGAGAGAAGAUGUUGCCACGUUGGAAAGGUUUUCAAUGAAAGUUUUUUCUUUCCUUUUUUGUUUUUGAGAAUCGGGAGCUUAGCCCCCCUACAACCCUACCCAUGUCCUCGGCUCCUCGCACUAGGACUUGAACCCAUGAUCUCCCACUCCCACCCACGUGCCUUUCCAUUGGGAACCAAUGGUUUGGCAUGAAAGAUGUACUAGUACUUCUUCUACCAUCACUACUCAACAAUAGCAAAAUCCACCCAAUAGCUUAGCGCAGACACACAAGGCCUCAGACAACAAAUAAAAUCCUCGACCAACGUACCUGGUUCUCAUGAGCUCCUGAUGCAAACCAUCAAGCUCGGUUCUCAGAAUGGGCAUUUGUUGGUUCUCCAUCUGCAGAUGCUUUAACUCUUUUGUCAUGCUCUGAACCUUUGCAGACAUCUCUUCCCUCAAAGCCUCCAACUUUUUAAACUCAGACCUUAACUGCAUUAACUCCUCCCUAAAGGGCUCGAGAGAACGAAGCUCCCCCUCUAAUUUUAAACCCCUCUGAAUUAACUCCCUAGUCUCAGCUUCUUUUUCCGCACGGAGUUUAGGCAUGGCUUGGCUUAAGACAUGGAGCUCGUCUUUGACGUGAGGUAACUCUCUCCUGAGGGCAACAAUCUCGUCCAUUAAAUGUCGAUUAUCUGCGACAAUUCUCCUAAUUUCGUCACGACGGAGAGCGAUUUCUUCCUCAAAGGGCAGAGGAGGAGGCGGCAUGGCGUGGCCACGAGCUACUCGUGGUAAGGGAGGCGGGGGGCCAUCUCGGUACCCAUGCAGAUCACUGUUCAUUGGCUGGCGAGGCAUGCGAUUUCUUCCAGCCAUGGCGGUCCUGAAGAUAAGUUGAAUACCGAGAGCAAAUAAAUAGAGCACAUUGGUAUAGAAUACGAAGAAAACCUACCAAAUUACAAAUCAUGCAGGAUAGUACAAAAAAUUACAAGCAAUAUCUAUGACCUGUGGUCUAGGGAAACCAGCAGCAUUCAGAACCAAACAAUUCACAAUAUAUUCCAUGGUGCAUAUUGACUCCAACAUAGCUUUUGCAGAAAACUGUAGUAAAACUAAAUUUUAGAGGCAAAACAAGUAAUAAGAGGUGUGACACGUAAAUUCUAGGAGCUUAAUUGUAACAGUACAUGGAUGAAACAUGAGAACAUAAGACUACUAUGCAAUUCACUUAAAUUUAGUAUGGCCAAUAUUAAUUACUAAAUUGAUCCAUUUCAUUAACUUUCUUAAGCUAGUUCUCAUAUUAUAUAAAUUAGUAAGUUCAAGGAGUGGAUGGUCGACGUAUCAAGCAAGCAAAUAAGGUGCUUUGGAAUUUUGUCAUGGUAUGUAAUUAAUUGCGUGUAUGAACUAAUGGACUCAAUUUUCAAGUUUGACGGCGAAGAUGACAUAUAUCACCAAAGGUAUUGAUACCAGGUUAUCAUGUUAUUAUUAGCUCAAGCUCUACAACUUGUGGAAUACGACAUGGAAUACUAGUAUAACGGUCUCUCAUACCACACGGAGGAAGCGACAAGUAGAAAGGGACGCAGAAGAGUCAACAGUAAUUAGACAUUAACAGUGGAAACAAAACUCCUCGCAUGCAGCCACAAGUUGCAUGCUUGCGCUUUCCUUUUCUUUCCAAUUUAAAACCCCAAAUGAAGCUACGAAGGUACCACGUGGCAAAAUUUACUUGGUCGAAUUCCCUUUCCCUCAACGAACUCUUACUGCCACCGAUGCAAUGCGGAACAAAAAGUAAAAGAAGUUUAACUAGAUAUAACUUCUGGUUAAACUCUAGCUUGCGUCGUGUAUGCAGAGAGAUGCACAGCCACGUGUGCAACAUAGUUUUUCUAAAUCCUACUGCUCGCUCCUUUCAAGUGUCAUAUUUUAGCAGGAAAGUAGAUAAUAACAAUGGAUGAAUAACAAACUAUUUUUAACUAAAAUGCCAUGUAUUGACACUUGCCAAGGAAGGCAUUCUACCAUACAGCCUUGCCAGCGAUGCUACCAGAAGCGAUCAAGAAGCAUAAAUCAAGCAAAGGGCAGGCAAAAAAGUCGAGAGAUUUUGGCUGGAGUAAGAAGCUAAAAUGAGCUUCUGAACCCGAAAUUGCUUCUAAGUUCAACUGGAUAUAUGUCGCAAGGAUUUUAACGAAUUUCCUACAGCUUACGUAACAAAACUCUACUCCAACAACGGUUUUCGAAAGCUGCGGUGUCGCCGCACAACUCCUUACUGAAAAGACUAUAGACGAUGCGUCAACUAUAAACCGAUAAAGCGCAAAUAUAUCACAAACACUUCAACUCAGCAAACACUUGCCCCUAACAAAUCUAAACAUUAGCCGAAUCAUUUAACUGCAAAAAAAAAAAAAAAAAAUGUAAAACCUACAAAGGUCAAAAAUCUGAUAGCAAAUGACAUUUUCGUAUGAAAUGAUCAAAGUUAACCCUAAUCCCUAAUUCCAAAACCCUAAAUCCUUCCAUAAACUUGUUACAGCAUCAGUGCAUUGAGACAAGUAGAUCAUUUUACACACGAUGAUCGAAACAAAUAACCAAAAUUCACAUCAAUGAAACGAACGGAUUCGCUCGUUCCCAAUACGAUCGAACGAAAAAAAAAAAAAGCGGAACAAGCUAAAAUUAGAUUAACCCUAGAAUUUACUUCAAAACAAAGAGGAGUGAUUAAAUCUAUAAACUAGCAAAAUACGAAUCGGAGAGGGGAGGAGAACGCACGAAGAGGCGACAAAGAAUCGAACGAAGAGGGAGGAGCUGCGAAAACGAGAGAGGGGGUGUGUUGGUGAGAGAGAGAGAGAUAGAGAGAGAGAAGGGGUGGUUCAGUGCAGGGAAGCAAACGGGUCGGAUCCGGGAGGGGUCUUACACCUCUGCCUCCAUUUCUUGUCGGAUCAAUGCGGAUCAACUUUUUUUUUGUGGAUAAAAUAGCACGCUACCCGCUUCAUUCAUAAAAAAAAAAAAUUGAAUAAGACUACAGAGUGAGGCAUCUAAGACCUCGGGAAGAGUUAAAAAAAAAAUUACGGAAUGUGAAGGAGCAGAUUUACUGAGCGGAGAUGUUUCCAAAACUUCGUCAGUGAUUUCAACUUACGGAAUGUGAAGGAGCAGAUUUACUGGGCGGAGAUGUUUCCAAAACUUUGUUAGUGACUUCAACUUGUGAGCAGCUAGCAGGGAGUCCGGUCGAUCAUUUCGAAAGUUCGUUCCAUUCCUGGUCUCCCGAAUGAUCCACCAGCAAGCUACUAGAGUUGAUAGCCUGCUGGUUAUUGAUUGCGGAUCAAUUUUAAUUUCAUAUUUUAUCAUCAUUACUGCUUCAUUCGGGACGAUUAUAGCAAAUUUUGACGAAUUUUUAACCAAUCGAGAUAGAUCAAAAAAAAAGGGUCUUCUAUCUCUCGCACCAUUUACUUGAUGGUUCGGAAUUGAUUCAACGUUAGUUAUAUUAUUAUGUUUUUUUAUUCUCAUUUACCGUUUCAUUCAGAACGAAUCAAAGCGAGAGCUCCACCAAUCUGGAUCUAUUUGCAUCCUUAGUUUGGGGAGAGUUUGGCCUCGUGCCUUACUAAAUUACUUAAGUAUCCCUUAAACUUUUUUUUGUUCUAGGUGGAAAUAAAAAUACAAAAUUAUCAAAACAACCAUUUUAAAUUGACAAUUCAAAAUUUCAAAAUUAUGAUUUUAUGAUCCAAUUUUUUAAUUUAUUUAAUUGAGUCACUCAACUUCAAUUUAACUUUAAAAUUUAAACUAAUUACUUAUUUUAAUAAAUUUAUAUUUACAAGAAUUGUAUAAAAUAUAUUAACUAAAUCUAUAAAUAUAAAAGAUAAAAAAAAAAUUUCGAAGAAGAAGUGCAGCGGAUCAACUCAAAUUAAACAAAUUAAAAAAUUAAAUACUAAAAUCAAAUUUUUUAAAAAAAUUUGAAUAAUUAAUUUAAAAUAGCCUAUUAUUUAGAUAGUUUUGUUUGUAAGUUUCUAUCGAACACAAAUUAUAUGUCUGAUGCAAGACUAAAUUGCCCAAAAAAAGAUUAGAAUAAAUUAAAAAUGAUUAGAUUAAUAUAUAUAAAAAAUAAAUUUAUCAAAUUUUAUUCAUUUAGAUUUUAUCUAAUAGUUGAAACUUUACAUAUAAAUGAGUCUUUUUAUAAUUAAGCUCGCAUUUAUAUUUUUAUUUUUAGCUAAAAAAUAAUAAAAUAUAUAUAUAUAUAUAAUUAUUUAUUUAUAUAUAAAAUAUAAAUUAAAUAAAUUAUAUAAAUAUAAAUAUAUGUAUUCGAGCUGUUAUCGAGCCGACACGAACGAGCUGACUCCAGCUCGUGCUCGGCUUAUUUAUUAAACGAGCUGAAAAUUCAGCUCAUGUUCGGCUCGUUUACUAAACGACGGAGCGAUCCGACAUCUGAGCUAUUCGAACCAAACACGAGCUGGCCGCCACGAAACAGCGAGCUAGAUUGCCACCCUAGUUAGGGAAUGCAAACAGAUAGAUCCAUCGGUGGUAAAAAUUCUCCACCUUCCGUUCAUUUUCUUUGCGAGUCGGGACAUUUUCGAAGCAAUUAAUUUUAAGUCCACGUGAAGAGCUCACUCCCAACCAUAGUUAGUUAAUUCGGAUUCGGCCAAAAAUUCGCGUACGGAUAUAAUUCGGAUAAAAUUCGUUUUUUAAUUUUUUAAUUCGUUGAAAAAUCACGGCUAAAAAACGGUUCGGUAAUUAUUUCGGAUAUGUAAUUAUACGGAUAUAAUACGUUCACAAUUAAAAAUUCGGGCGAUCAAAAAUUCGGCUAAUAUAAUAAGUAUAUAAAUAUUAAUUUACUAUAUAUAUUUAUUAUUAUAAUUUUUAUAUAUUUAAUUAAAUAUAUUCCUAUAUUAAUAAUAAACAUAUAUUAAUAAUACAUAAAUUAUAUAUUUAAAAAUAGUAAUAAAUAAUUAUAAAUUUUAUAAAUAAAAUAUUAUAUAAAAUUUAUAUAUAAAAUAUAAAUAAAUAUAUAUAACUAAAUAAAUAUAUUAUUUUAUAAUAAAAAUUUAUAUAUAUAUAUAUAUAUAUAUGAGAGGGAGGUCCACUGUGGACCUCCCCCUCAUGCGGUCCACGAGGCUGAAAUAGCCUCGUGGACCGCGCAUCUCCAUGCUCCCAAAAAGCCCCGCAAAAAUUACUGUUCAACUUCAACUUUCCCAAAACGGCAUCCGGCGAGGAGAUGGGAUCCGCUGCCGCGGCCUUGCUCCCGGCGCCGGCGAGAGCGGCGGAGGACGACGACGAUGCGAGCGGCGACAACGCGAGCGGCCACGAGAGCAGCGACGACACGAGCGGAGAGCCGGCGACGACGCGGCCCUCGGCCGCGAGUCCGCGACCGCGAUCGCCGAUUUUUUGGGCGAAUUAUUCGCGAAUCGCGAAUAAUUCGCGAAUAAUGAUUUUUGAGGAAGAAAUCGCGUUUUUUUCCGAUUUUUUGGGAAAAAUACGGAAAUCUCCGUUUAAUUCGUAUGUAAAAAAAUCGCCGUUUAAUUCGCGUAUUAAACGCGAAUUAACUAACUAUGCUCCCAACUAUUGAAUAUUUAUUUUUUUUUUAGAAUAAACUAUUGAAUAUUUAUAGAAAUUAAAAUAAUCUUCUAAACAUUUAUCCAAAACUUAUGCACAAAACAGGUAAUAACAUUUUUUUUUUACAAAAAGUAAUAUUAGAAAAUAAUUUGAAAACAAAAUUACAAAAUCUAAAACCAUUGAAUAUGUAUAUAUAUACUUUUUAAAAUAUUUUAACAAUUUGCCAUCAAACACCCCGCCAACUACCUCGUAGUGGCACCAUAGCUGUUCCCAACUGUUACAUAUACUCUUUUUCAAUUUUGUUAGCCGAAUACAAAUAAAAUAAAGAGGAAACUUCAAAUACACCCUUGUGGUUUCGCACUUGCUCACUUUAGUAUCUUAUGGUUUAAUAUUUCGUUAAAUUAUAUACAAAAAACUUCAGAUACCCUACCUAAGUAUAUCGAAUAUUCAUUUUAGUACUAUUUAGUUUUAACUUUGUCAUUGAUUUAACGAAAAAAAUAUCUCGAAAUAGAUAAUAAAAAAUAAAAAAUAAAACCACAGGGUACUAAUUUGAUACAAAAAUAAAAUCAUAGAGUAUUAACUUGAUACAUUUUAAAUCACAGGGUACUAAAGUAAAAAAAUACGAAACCAUAUGGUACUAACUUGAUAUAGCUUAAACCACAAAAUACUAAAAUAAAAAAGUACGAAACCACAAAACUUUUUUUGGAAGUUUUCCCUAAAAUAAACCCUCUCGGAUAUUAUUCCUAGAAUCCUC
rnacentral:lncRNA from 1 species